UAUUGCACAAUGGGGGAAACCCUGAUGCAGCGACGCCGCGUGAGUGAAGAAGUAUCUCGGUACGUAAAGCCCUAUCAGCAGGGAAGAAAAUGACGGUAUAUGACUCAGAAGCCCCGGCGAUCUACGUGCCAGCAGCCGCGGUAAUACGUAGGGGGCAAGCGUUAUCCGGAUUUACUGGGUGUAAAGGGAACGUAGACGGCAGCGCAAGUCUGGAGUGAAAUGCCGGGGCCCAACCCCGGAACUGCUUUGGAAACUGUGCAGCUCGAGUGCAGGAGAGGUAAGCGGAAUUCCUAGUGUAGCGGUGAAAUGCGUAGAUAUUAGGAGGAACACCAGUGGCGAAGGCGGCUUACUGGACUGUAACUGACGUUGAGGCUCGAAAGCGUGGGGAGCAAACAG
rnacentral:rRNA from 1 species